rnacentral:rRNA from 1 species
GAUGAACGCUGGCGGCGUGCCUAAUACAUGCAAGUCGAACGAAACUUCUUUAUCACCGAGUGCUUGCACUCACCGAUAAAGAGUUGAGUGGCGAACGGGUGAGUAACACGUGGGCAACCUGCCCAAAAGAGGGGGAUAACACUUGGAAACAGGUGCUAAUACCGCAUAACCAUAGUUACCGCAUGGUAACUAUGUAAAAGGUGGCUAUACUACCGCUUUUGGAUGGGCCCGCGGCGCAUUAGCUAGUUGGUAGGGUAAAGGCUUACCAAGGCAAUGAUGCGUAGCCGAAUUGAGAGGUUGAUCGGCCACAUUGGGACUGAGACACGCCCAAACUCCUACGGGAGGCAGCAGUAGGGAAUCUUCCACAAUGGGCGAAAGCCUGAUGGAGCAACGCCGCGUGGGUGAAGAAGGUCUUCGGAUCGUAAAACCCUGUUGUUAGAGAAGAAAGUGCGUGAGAGUAACUGUUCACGUUUCGACGGUAUCUAACCAGAAAGCCACGGCUAACUACGUG